UGUGACUGGUUGACCAGAGGGGCGUGCACUCUGUUCACCCUGUGGGCCACCUAGUCACCAA
rnacentral:pre_miRNA from 1 species